rnacentral:sRNA from 1 species
GCCAGGUGUGGUGGCACAUGCCUGUAAUCCCAGUAGCUCGGGAGGCUGAGGCAGGAAGAUCACGAAUUCAAAGCCAGCCUCAGCAAUAGCGAGGCGCUAAGCAACUUGGUGAGACCCUGUCUCUA